rnacentral:rRNA from 1 species
GCUGGGGCGGCAUAUCUGUUACACAACAACGCAGGUGUCCUAAGGCAAGCUCAGUGGGAACAGAAAUCUCACGUAGAACACAAGCGUCAAGGCUUGCUUGAUUAACGAUUUUCAGUACGAAUCGAGACUGCGAAAGCAAGGCCAGCGAUCCUUUGCGAAAUAUUGCUAUAUGAACAGAUCAUACCAGAGGUGUCAGAAAAAUUACCACAGGGAUAACUGGCUUGUGGCAGCCAAGCG